CAGCUCCUGCUCCGAGCAUCUCCCAACCGGCAGGCCGGACCAGAAAGAGCUGUACUUACCAGACUGGAGAUUGGCCUGCCAUCACAAAGCAAGCAAAGGAGUACCAGGGACUGAGCCCAGACCCCUGUCCUGAGCUACAUAUCCAGCCCCCUCCCUCUUUCAUUUUGAGAAAAACUAUCCUGCCUCAGCCUCUCCAGAGCACUGGGAUUAUGGAUGUGCGCCAUCACACCUUGGGGCAAGUAAUUUAUUCCAAUCUGAAGAACAACCUUAAAAUACUUCAUCUAAUUAUAACCCUAGGAAAGCAGGCACCAAAUUAGUGAUGCUAAGAUUCUUUGACCAUCCUCAUUCCCGUGCCCUGGUGUGCACAGAAGCCACCUGACGGAUGCGUGCGCUUAGUUUGUGCUGCAUUAGUCAUGGGAAGUGCAUAAUUUAUGACCAAUGCAAUCAGUCCUAACAAGAAGAUUGACAAAUCAGGUCUGACCUCGGAGAAAUGAAGUAGAUGAUGCUUCCCAAAAUUAUUUCAUGUCCUUAUGUAUGUGCACAUUGUGUCUAAAAGAGAACAAAUUCAUCUUGGCUGGUGUUUUCUUUCUGAUUCAACAUAAAGGCUUCAUUUUGUUUCAUUUUAUUUUAUUUUACUUGUAGCAAUAGUUGCUAUAUUUGGUUUUCCAGGAUUUCCUCUAUGGAGCAAGGACAAGAACAACAAAAUUUGUUACAUCCCUGGCCACUGCAGCAGUAAUAACCAGAACUAUUGGCAUGAUUGAUAUAUAAUUUGCCAUCUUUUUCCAGGAGACAGGUGAAGAGACAAUGUCCCCGAGUUUGCAAAUGUUAUCGAUUUAGGAAAGCAUCAUUCUUGUGUCUCUGAAUGCUGUCCCGCCAUUUCCUUCUCGGGGUUCUAACCAGAUUGUGGUAAACGCCCUCACUUCCUCAUUUGUUCACUUUUCAAACAAUAUUUUAAUAUCUUUGCAUGCAUUGAUGGGAGUUAUCAACAAACAUUUUAUAAAUAUGUGGACAUUGUCUUCGAGUAUUGUCUACAAUUCAAAUCAUCAACAAUAACAAUGAGCACUUUGUGCACAGUGAGAGAAGGAAGCGGUGGGCUGGGGAAGUGGCUCAGAGGCAGAACAUUUCCCUAGCAGCCCUGAAGCUCUGGAUUCAUCCCCAGAACUGGUGUUAAAAAAAAAAAAGUGAAGAAGAUGUCCUAUGAGAAAUAACGCAAUCCCAGUUUCCUGCAGUAUGGUGAAAGCUUGCAGAGAGAUGGAUUCAGGACAGAUACCACAUUCUCUCUGAAGAUGGCAUAGUCUGUUUGGCCAUGCGCUCGCUGAGAACUAUGUGGGCUGCGUGCUCUUUGGGCUGGGGUCCUUUUCAAGGGUCCCCAUGGUUCCUGCCCGCCACCCUCUUGACUCUGGGCAUAGGCUAGGACUCUCAGGGCUGCAAGCGCAGAAGGUGGCUUCCUGGGCCACAUCCUUGCUGUGCUGGGGUCCCCCUAGCUGGUAGCCCAGGUCCUCAGUGUCCUGCUGUCCAGUCUCAGACACGGGAGGAGACCAUGUUCUCCAGCUCCUUUUCCACCAUCUGCCCAGACCAGACGUCCUGCAGACUCAGCUCAGUGCAGGGCAGUGUGAGUGCACCCAAUCUGCCUGUGUGCUCUCUUGGCUCAGGACGCAGGUGUGGGCCGCCUGCUAUGGUGGGUGGGCAGACCUGAGCUGUCCUGCUGCUGUGCGGCCCCUGCAGGCCUGGGCCCCGAGAGCCAUCACUUUUCCUCCUCCCACUGCUUCCCGGGCUCCCCCUCCGAUUGUCUCUGGCACUGUUUCCAGAGUCUACCACCGUACAGACAUACGCACUUAGCUAGUUUUACUCUUUCAAAAAACACAAUAUAUUUGUACAUUUAUGCAUUACAAUAUUUUGACACAUGCACAUUGUGAGAUGAUCAAAUCACAUCAUAUCAUUUACCAUAAUUGUGUUUAGCAGGAAAGAAGAGUUUUCUUCACCUUGACCGAGUUGGAGCCUGCACACAGCUUUUCUUGCCUCUCAUGUUAAUGAGUGCCUGUUUGCAGUGCAUCUUUGCUCCUUGUGUGGAGCUGGUACACACCUACCACAUCACGGGUCCUUUUUCACCCCUUUCUCCCUCCUCCCUUCCCCCUUACUCUAUGUCCUAAUCCCCCUCCCAUUAGAGGAAGAUCUAUCUUCCUACUUCCUAUGUCUCUUCUGUGUUUCUCUUUAUUUUUAUUCUGGGUUUCUCAUAUGUAAAAAAUACAUGCAAUAUUUAAGCUUAUGUGUAUUAUUUCAAUUAGCAUGGUCUUGAAGUGAAUCUGCUUUUUUAUAAAUGACUCAAAUUUAUCAUUCUUCAUGGCAGAGUAGUCCUCCCUUAUGUAUAAAUACAUUUUAUUUAUUCAUUCAUCUCUUAAUGGACUAGUAGGCUGCUUCCAAGAUUUAGCCAUUGGGAAUUAUGCUGCUUUAAACAUAAUUGUGCAGGUGUCGUUGUAAUAUGAUGUCUUUAACUCUUUCAGGAAGAUACCUAAAAGACAAUCGCUGAAUCAAAUGGGGUUUCUAGUUUCAAUUUUUUAGACUCUCCAAACAAGCCAGGUAUGGCAGCACAUGCCUAUAAUCUCAGCGCUUAGGAGACUGAGGCAGGAGGAUCACUGUGAGUUCAAGACCAGCCUGGGCUACAAAGUGAGCUCAAGGCCAACCUAAAGUGCAUAGUGAGACUCUGUCUCAAAAAGACAAAAAAAGAAUCUCCAAAUUUCAUAGUGGUGGUGCUAGUUCACAUCCCCACCAACAGUUAGAAGUUUCUACAUACCCAGCCUUGCAACAUUUCUUAGUAUCUGAUUUCUUUUCUGUUGUGUUGUAUUGUGUUGUGUUUUUGAGACAGGGUCUCGCUAUGUAGCCCAGACUUGCCUUAAACUCACAGCAAUCCUCCUGCCUCAGCUUCCCAAAUGUUGGAAAUGUGAAUGUGCACCACCACACCCAGUGUUUUUGAUUCCUUGAUGGUGGCCAUGCUUUCUAGGUAUAACCAAAAAGACAAUGAGUGAUUCUGCUGGGAGACAUACAGGGGAAGGUGGGCUCACGAAAACAUUCUGCUGUGUCCUCGUGCACCUGUUCCCUGGAUCUGGUGCUGUGUGACUUCUGGGUCUUCCCCAAAGUCAAAAUGGCUGUAAAAGGUAAAUGUCUUGAACGGAAUCAGAGCAUUAAGGCAGCCACAACAGCAAAGCUAAAGAAGACUUUGAGAAUUUCCUAAGAAAGUGGCCAGAAUUGAAGCAAGGGUUAGGGUAUUUUGAGUGGAUUAACAGCAAUGUGUCUUUCACUGUAAAAAAUGGCUUUUUGGUUGUUGUUUUUGUUUUGGUAACAGAGAUCGAACUCAUGACCUUGCGCUUACCAGGCAGGUGCUUAUGCUGCUGAGCUAUAUCCCCGGCCCAUAAUAAAUGGUUUUAAUGUCCACCGUAUUUUUCAGUCAUACCUCGUAUGUAUGGUAUUGUGUCUACACCACGUACGUGCAUGUGUGUGUGUGUGUGUGUGUGUGUGUGUGUGUGUGUGUGUGUUUAGGGAUGAUGGAGAGGGAGAUGGGACAGGCAAGUACCUGUGCAGGCUGGAGAUGGGACACCAGGUCAGGUGAGCAAAACUAAAAGAAGUCACUGUCCCCACAUGACUCUGCCCUCCGCCCUUGUCCUCCCUGGCUGAGCUGAUGCAUGCCAGCCACUGGGCCUGGGACAAGGAACAGAGGCCAAGGUCAGCUGUCUGCACAGAGCGCGCUGGAACCCAGCAGAGCAGAGUUGCCUGGGUGACUUAUUGCUUAUUAAUAAUAUAAAUAUGUAAAUGUGACAGGGGCCAUAUUGAUCACAACACGUGGACCAUCCAUCACAAGGGUGAGGAACAUGCUGUUAUAAAUAUCAGCUAAUAGGUCUGCAGCCUGAGACUUGUCAAUAUAGGUGAGGCCUGGGAUGGGUCCCAAGGCAAUUUUACUAAUGAGAGUCACUCCAGCUGCCACCACUGCUUGCUUGCAGUGUGUGGGUUUUGAAGAGGAAGGGGAUGUUGGGAAGCCUCAGACAGGAGGGAGAGAUUCCUGGGUAGAGAUACUAGGGAAACAACCUCCCUUUUUCUCCUCCUCUGUGAGCUGGAAAAACAGUCAGCAAAGCUCCCCAAAUUGCAGCAUCUCAGCAUCUCCACCAGCUUGUGGAAGCACCUUCCCAAGUAGGAGAGCCCCAGCCCAUCAUGGUAACAUAUACCACUUCAAGGCCUUUUUCAGAUCGAAGGCUGUGCUCACGCCCAGAGCUAAGCCAUGCUGUCACAAGUUGCCAUCUCUUUGGCUCCUCUGUCUCCCAGUGGGUAGGGACUCAGGUCAGGUUUCGGGGAGCACCUCUGAGGCCCCCAGGGCUGCCAUUAGUAUUCAGCAUCUUUUCAGUAAUGGGCCCUCUUCAUGCCAAUUUGAUUUUAUUAUUAUGCCAACACACUUGCUUAAUUCUCUGCUGUCUUUCUUCUGCACUGUUGAUUUACACUGUUAGUGUUUUAAUUAUACAAUUCAGCACUCCUUAAAACAUGAAAAACUGCUCAACUUUUCAAGCAAUUAAAAGGCAGUGGAGUAUAUCAGCAGAUCUGAGACGAGAUAAGUAAAUCAAGCAAUUAAAAACCUCGCUUGGUGAAAAUGUAGCAACCUACCCCAAAUGAGCCGGGUUGGUGGGCCCUCCUGACAAAACUUCAGAGCGACUCGCCUUCUGCCUCAGCAACUAUGGGUUCCCCAGGUCCCCUUAUCUUCCCUUCCCCCUCCUUGUACAUACCGCUUGGUUGACCCAGUCUCUGGGCCUCGGGUGCAGAGAAACUUCGUGGAAACAGCCUAGGGCUGGGUUUCCUGAACGCUGGAUGCUCCCCUGGCCACCAAGCAGCUCAUAAACACAAUUGUACCAUUCCCUGGGGCUUCCCACUGGCAAAUAGGAUUGCAUUACUAGCAUUUGGACUGUGUGUGUGUGUGUGUGUGUGUGUGUGUGUGUGUGUGUGUGUGUGCAUAAAUAUACAUAACACAAUCUAACAUUGCAAGGAAAGAAGACUACCGUAAAUUCAUGGCUGAAGCCUCUUAUAACCAGACAGAUUAACAAGGGAAACAAGUGCACCUCUAUGUAACAUAAGUUUUCUGUGACACGAGAGACUUCAUAAUGGAAUGAAGUCCCACAGAAAUAGAUGAGCCUGAGUAUUUUUUAUGCUAGGUUUGACGGAGAACUGCAGAGUCACGCUGAAGACUAUUUUCAAAGUAUAGUCUCACUAUAAUUAAGGAAAUGUAGCACAGCCUGUGUAAGUAUUCAGAUUCUUUGCACCCCUGCAUCUCCAGAGGUAAGGAUAGUCCCUUCCUCCAGGCCCCCAAGGGCACCUUUCCCAUGGGAGUCCCGUGGUCUCCUGCAGGGGAGGUCAUAAAGUCCUCCUUAGAUUUUGUAACCUGCUACAGGGGAAGGGUGAGGGCAAGCGACAGGGACCUUCCCAUAUAUGCUACCUUCUCACAUGUUAGCAUGCCAGUUUCAGCAGACCUGAAUCCCAUCACCAUCUCACACAUUUUUUUCAGUAUCUGAGACAUAAUCUCAUUUUGUUGCCCAGGCUGGCCUCUAACUCAAAAUCCUCCUGUCUCAGCCUCCUGAGUAGCCGGGAUGACGAGCACACACCCCUGAGCCUGGCUAUCUAAUGCAUAUUUUAAGUGGAGGGUUCAGCAGGUCUGCAUUUACACUGCUCAUUCAUAUGCAUGUGGUACACCCACGUUCUGGCGCACCCCUCACACCAUCCAUCUCCAGGGCUCUUUCCCUCCUGCAGAACUGAGACUGUACCCGGCAGACACUAAUUUCCCACCGCCUUCUGGACUCACUGGCUUUUAUUGGCCCCUGCAAAGUCCCACGGGUUCAUCUCAGGCACUGCAGCACCAACUGGGAAGGAGCAGGGGGAGGCAGGAGGAGGAGGGGGAGGCAGGGUUCUUCUUGAUCUCUUGAUCUGUUUAAGCUAUUGGGCUUCUGGGUUCCAUUUCAUUUGAGCACAAGGCUAUAAAGGGUUAUUUCUUAAUGCCUGGAAAACACAUGAACAGGAUCCUCUUAAAGGUCCUCUGGAUUGGAGUAACUUGCUUCAGGCUUGAAUUUCUUGAAAGCAAAGCUCAGCCCGGAGCAAGGAGCAGAGAGCCCUGCUUUUCUGAGUCAGAGCAGGACAGAGCACACUCCCCUGGCAUGAGCUGGUAGAUCCCAGAAAUCCAAGCCCUUCUUAGGCCUUAGCCAUUCCCUCCCAGUACACACUGGACUCCUAAUUCGGGCUCCAGGGGACCCAGACCAGUGACUUUCUGUGAAGGCAAGGUUGGGGACAAGGUGAAGCAGGGACAGGCGGUAACAAACCCCUCAUUCAUCACACUAGGAACCAGGAAGCCCAGAGGUGCCAUUUGCUGCCAGAUCACUGACCAGGCUGUCUGAAGUAGGCCCCUGACCAAGGUGGGGCCACUGUGCACGGGGGUGGCACUGAAGGAGCCAGAGGGCCAGGGAGGCAGCCAACGGCAGUGUCUGGAGUGGCAGCCAUGCUAGCCCCUGAGGAAGAGGCAAGGCCAAGGUCCCGGUACUUGGCUCUGGGACUCAGUUCAGUUUACCUGCAAGAGACCAAGAA